AACCCGAUAUUUUCCAAAUGAAUUUUAGAGUUACUUCCUCAAUUAUAACUUACUAGUUUUAACGAGUUCGAUACCGUAACAGGUACUAAUUAUAUCCAUAUAACAUGUAUGCAUAUAUAUUUAUUGUGAUAUUAUUAUUUAUAUGAUAUAAUAUAUUAAAUGGUGCAUGAAUUGGUUAAGUUAGUGAGUGGGCCAGGCCCACUACUCUUGUGACUGUGCACGUUAUAUUCCAAAGGAAGGAGUGAAAGUACAAGAAAAAUUAUUAAUCUGUUUCUAGUCUAAGGAGAGAGAAGGGACAAGAAGAGGGCAUCGGUUACUGUGUACAAAGUUUGACACAGUGAAGUUUAUUUCCCACAAUUGCCAAGGCAUGCAGGUGUGGCUAACGGGGACCAGGUAGCCGAUACUUGAUUCAUUCCAGCUUCGUUCAGUCUAGUUCAGUCGAGGUGAGCCACCAUUAGAUCAUGGCGGCCUCUUCUUCGUUAGUUGACUUAGUAGUAUUCCGAGCUACGUCUCGUACUUUUAUAUUCAGACUAGUAGUUCCAUGACUUAGACAUUUUAUGGGGUUUAUGGGCAAGACUCAGUAUUUGUAUUUCGUUUCCGCACUUUUCUUUAUAUUAUGAGACUUUGCGUAUUA